GGCAAACCAGUAAUUGGACAUUCAGCAUGUCGCCAUCCAAUAUCACCAGCAUAUCUUUCAAAUACACAAAUCAUUUUGGAACGAACAUAUGGUGUUCCAUCAGCUGCCACAAAAACACCAUCCAUAUAAUACGCAUUACCAGGACAAUCAUUUAACGGGUCAAGUGGCAUUGCUUGUAACCCGAACCCGUAUUCACCUGCAUCCAUAUACGUCUUAAAAUACCAUGCAUCUGAUGGAUCCAUGUAAGGUACAAACAACUCUGACGUAAACCCUUUAUACAUAACAUUUCUCAUCUUCCCUGUAUCCGGAUCCUGAACCAUGGCCCGGGAUAUAAUAACCCCGGCUCUCGGGUCGGGCUUGAGGUGAAAUUCCCAAUUUGCCCAUUUUACUAGAUGAUUGUUUUCUAUAGUGAAACUUGGACCAUUUGGUUGUUCGAUAGAUAUUGGUUUGAGUAAGUUUGUUUUUUGUGUGUUUUUUUUAAUACGGGAGAAGCGAUAGUUUGUGUUGGCGGCCUUUGGUAUUGGUAUACUCUUUCCUUCAUCGAUAAUUUCGAUGACUUGUUGGGUGUCUAAAUCAAGAAGUACUGUUAAUCCUUCAAUUGGUCUCAUAUAGAAAUUGAUAGUGUCCUUCGAUGAAUAGCACUGUACUUUGAUCACUCUUCUUUUCUCCUCAACUUUCCCUGCAUAUAAAAAUUCGAAUCAGUUCCCUUGUAAUUACUUAGAUCACUCUAGUUCGCAAUACUACGUAUCUUACUAGAUUUUGGUGCAUACAGAUAUGUUAUGAUACCUCCAGAUAUAUGUAUUGGAAUACAUGAGAUUAAAAUUAUGUGUAAUUUAUUCUAAAUAUAUUAUAUGUGGAUUUGCAUGUAUAUGAGAUACAUAACAAAUCUCAUUCAUUACUCUCCUAUGUAUCUAGUAUCUCAAAUACAUGUGAAUCACACCUGAUAGAUACAUGUAUCUAGUGUGAUUCAUAUAUAUUUGAGAUAUAUAAAGAAUCUCAUUCGCCGAAAAAAAAAAAAAAAUACAAUCAACAAACCAACCAGUGGAGAUGGGCAAACAUGCCAGGUCAGCCAAAUCGACGCCACGCUGGACAAUGGUAUGGUUAAAAUCAGAGUUGGCAAGCGGGGCAGAAGUCGCCGUGAUCAUAUCCUCCAUCGUCAUGAUCGGGUAACACGACCCGAUUCAAUAUCCACGGUAAUCACGUGCAAUUACCGACGCCUUCCUCGGCGGAAGCCGGUGACCUUUCCGCCAGUCCAACACCACCUCCUUCUCCGGCUCUUCGAGUACAACAGAGUGAAGAACGCAACCUUUAAUCCUAAAUUCGUCAAUUGAAGUAACAAUUUUCUUGACUUUUUGAAUUUCUCCGAUUGUCAGUGGGUCUAAAGGAUGAUUGGGGAAAUCGGCAUAGUGAUUUUUAGCAUUUUCCGGUUGCCGGAAAAAGUGUUUUUUUGAACUGCACCAUGGGGAGUAAAUGGAGCAGUUUAGCAGCUCGUCUGUGUGAGAAAGCGGAGAUGGUAAGUUUAAAAAAGUGAAAAUUAAGAGCAAAAUUAUGCUCAUGAGGAAGAAGAGAUAUCUAAGGAAUAUUCAUCCUUCCCUAGCUGCGUUUAAUUUUUGUGAAUUUCAAUUUCUUUGGUCUUGUGAUUGUGGGAGCUGCUAUGGUGUUUAAAUACAUGCAACGGAUGGGGCAUGGUACAGUACGGUAUUUGAAAGUUUCGAUACCGUGAUUUGAAUAUUCAGUUUUAAAAUAUUAUAUCAUUAUCAUACCAAUUUAAUUUGAUAUGGUUCGGUAUAUUGAAGUUCGAUUUCAGUAUUUUACGAUAUGGUAAAUCGGUGACCAUAAUUUGUUCAAAACAAUUAAAAAGGAUCUCAAUUGUAUCAUACUAAUACAUUACACACGUAAAAUAUAUAUGCAAAAUAAAGUACAAACAACUUUUUGUUAAUCAAUUACAAUUUAAAUAUAUUUCAAUCAAUAUUUGUUGUGUGUGUAUUUCGGUAUAUCACAUACCAUGCCCACUAUUUUAUAAUUUUAUUACUAAAAUAAAUAAAUAAAAGUAAAAUUUUCAAUAAUUCUCUAAAUAAAUUUAAGAAUAAAUUAUCACUAAUACAAAAAGGGGAAAAAUAUUGUAAUUGCUAUUUGGGAAAGAUAACAACACAAAAUAUGAUAAUAACCGAGAUAAAUUUUGAAAUGAAAUCAUAAUCAAUCUCCAUAUUUACUAGCAUUUCCCACCCCGACUCAGGCCUCAACUAAUAUUUGCAUUGAUUAUUGACUUUAUAUUUCGAACAAGAAAAGAAUAUAAAAAAAAAGGUAAGAAUAAUGACAAAAUGAAUAAAGUUACCUCAGAAACAUAAUGCUAUGAAAUCUCUAUCCUAGUAGUUUAAGGCAAACAUCUAAAGAAAUUAUUUAUGGCAAUAUCAUUUUCGAUGAAAUUUGCUUUAUUUAUUUAUAUAAUUUUUAGAAAAUAUAAAUAAUGGUGGGAUGUUGAGGGUUCAUCGACCCUCAAUCAAAUGUUUCGAUUCAAGUUUUGGAAAUAGAGAAAAUUAUAUUGGGAAUAUUGUACUUUAAAUGGGACCUGCAAAACUGUAAUAUGCAAUCUAAAUUUAAUUGAACUUUAAUAUAGACACUAAACAUUCAACUUUUAGAAAUUUUAGCAGUGAACUAGCUCAUUAUAAGUGAAGUUAUGGAUUCAGAUCAAAUAUUUAUGUGUCAGAGAAUUACAGAACGAGGCAAACUCAUAUAUGGCAUAAAUAUUUCCUUUUAACUAAUUGGCUUUAGCUGUAUUUAUGUACUCUAAUUUUGAGUGUACACAAAUAGAUACUUAAAUUUAUAUAAAAUUAAAUAAGUAGGUGCAUGCGUCCUACGUGACAUAAUAAAUGUAGUACUCCUCGUAGGACACAAAUUGUCAUAUAGGACGCAUGUGUCUAUUUGUUUGAUUUUAUCAAGUUAAAAUACCUAAUUGUGCACACCUAAAAUUAGAUGUCAUAAAUAUCAAUUAAGACCAAAUUAAAUGGUACGUUUAUGUAUUAUACCUAAACUAUAUUUGUCCCUAACUACAAACACAUAUAAUUCAAAUUUUGAAUGAAUCAAAGGUGUGCUCUUUAUAAGUAACAAUAAUUUUUUAUUUCACCGACAUGGAUUAUGAUGCAUUGGUGGAAUGCUUUCACCCUUAACCAGAGGUCUCGAAUUUGAGCCCUGAAUAUGGCGAAAAAAAUUCUUUGUUUUUGUUUUGGUGUGUGGCUUUGUAGUUUGUAAUCUAUCAGUUGUUGAGAUAGCCGAGUUGCCCUAAGGUACUAAAUUAAGGUUUUAUGAUUCGAAAAGGAUCAUGUGUCUUCAUCAAUGUAUAUUAAUUUUGUGUCAAACUUUACCAAGAAUAUGGUGAUGUAUGUCUACACAUGCACUCAUCAUUAUUAUGUGGCCGUUGGUUAUAUUAAUAUCGAAAAGAUUUCUUUUUCGACUUAUCGUUGGCCUCAUUCAAGAAUUAUUUUUUAUCUAAUUCGUAGGGAUCAAUAGAAAAAACAAAUUAUUUAUGAUAUAUCAAAUUCGGAUCGAUUAUUGAUAGAGUUAAUAUAUAUAUUAUUUCUUGAAAUCUCUCUUCUAAUUUAAAAUAUAGUGUAACGUGUAUCCUCUCAUGCUCCGCUCAUCAAAUAGUUGAAGAAAUCAAAAAAUAUAUUUUUUGUUCAAGAAUGAAAUUUUAUUAAAACUGUCCAUAGCAAGCUUGUUAUGUAUAUUAUCUUCAUGGAAUAGUUUUAGAUAAUACUUUCAAUUGAUAGAUUAUCAUAUAAUACCGACUAUAUAUGAAUAGUAGUGUUGCAUUGAUAGGAAUAAAAUUUACAUACAUGUUAUUAUUCAACUUUUGUCAAUAUAUAUAUACACUAUCUUCUUCAGAUCCAUUUGAGAGAUUACAAAUAUGUUAUUAUUGUUCUAAACUAUAGUGUUAGGUGAGUCAUUUUUUUAACAGAAAAAAAAGGAUGAGAUGUAAACCCUGAAUUACGAGGUAUAUACGAGUACGAUAUUAUUGUUCCAAACAAUAGUGUUAGGUGGGCAUUUUUUAAAAGAAACAAACAGGAUGAGAUAUAAACCCUGAAUCACGGGAUAUAUAUACAAAUGUUCUAACAUGUGCCCAAACUUUACAAAGGAAUUAAUAAAGAGCAACUUUCACAUAUAGCAAACAAAAAAAUCAUAUUUGUAUGCUAUAGCAAAGUUUGCAUAAUUGCGCUCCAUAACAAACAUAUAUAUGUAUAAUUCGCUAUAUGAAAUUGUUGACUAUUGUUUCGAAUUUGUAUAUUUAAAACUUUCAUCAUUUGAAAUUGAAUGUAGAUUCCAGGUUGUAUAUUUUGUUCGUAAUAGAGUUUAACAGUUAUGAUUUCAAAAUUUGUGAUCAUCAAAUUUUCUGGAUGAUAUUGUUGAUUAUUUUGAAUUUUGGAUCGCAGAGUCGCUUUGGUCACAGUCAUAUUUUUUUCGGAUUUGUAUAUUUGUUGUCAAAUCUAUGAAUGAAGAUGAAAUUGUAAUAUGAUUUGUUAAAAGUUUAUACAUAUAGGUGUUUUGGUAUGAUUCAGUCAGAUUUGUAUAAAUUCAUAUAUGAAAUUGUUGACUAUUGUUUCGAAUUUGUAUAUUUAUACAGUGCAGGUGCGUCUUUUGGUUUGGAUAUAUGAAUCUGUAUAUUUGUAUACAAUUUUAUCAAUUGUAUAUUUGUAUAAAGUUUUAAUUUGUGUAUAUAAUCUUUUAUAUAAGUGUAUAUUGGGAAUAUGUAUAUAAAUGAAAAAUAGAAUUCGUUGUAGUUUAUAUACAUAUACCUAUUAGUGUUGUUGUGAGUUGUAUAAGUAUAUGAAUUUGUUGACUAUUUUUUCGAAUUUGUAUAUUUAUACAAUGCAGGUUCGUCCUUAGUUUGGAUGUAUGAUUCUGUAUAUAAUAGGUAUAUGUAUAUGUCUAUUAUUUUAGGUUUGUCAAUUGUAUAUUGUAUAAAGCUUUAAUUUGUAUAUAAGUAUAUAUUAGGAAUAUGUAUAUAAAUGAAAAUCUGAAGUCGCUAUAAUUUGUAUAAGUAUAUAUUCUUUUAUUGUUGCAAUUUUCAAUCAUAUAAAUGUAUAUGUAUAUAUAACAUAAUUUUUUAUACAGAAAUAAUAAAAAUGGCUUCGUUAGUUGUGUUGGUUAUGCAUUCUGGUAGAUGGGACAGUGACAAUUGUUACGUUGAUUAUACAAUUGAGGGGGUUAUUUUCAAAGAAAGUUCAUCGUAUAAGGAGUUGUAUAAUGUUAUUGCAACGCAAUUCGAAGUUGAUAUGAAUGUGAUUAAGCUGAAAAUUGAGUAUAAGGUUGAAGAAAGCAAUACACCAAUGUUGAUUCACAGCGACAUGGGUGUUAGAGUGUAUAUCUAAUCCGAUUUCGAUCAAAAAGAUCGCGACUUUUUCCUUCAGAAAUGAAUCAAGAAGCUAUGUUUCAAGAAAUCUCCGCGAGAAUCAUAGCGGCAACUCCGCAAUACCGAAGGGCUUGAAAUCGGUGAAGAAAGACUAUAGCAAAAAGAAACAAUUUAGCUAGUAGAGGCUUGUACUGUGAUCGGGUGAAGGGGAAAAAUCCAUUAAUAGCAAAUUGACCGAGAGAUUUGCUCUUUAAUGAAAAUAAAUGAAACUGUAGCUAUUUUAUUUAUUUUAAAUUAAUAGUUUGCCAUUAUGUACAAUUUUCCCAUUAAUAAAUUAUAGUUAAGAUCUUUAUUCGUAUGACAUUUGAUAUGCUUAUAUUUUUGUAUCAUAAAAGCUUAGUGCAUAUGUUUUUCUCAGAAUAUAUUAUAAUUUUUAUCGAACUUUACCAAAAUGAUAGUACAUAAUGGGAUUGUCGUCUUUCUACAAAUAUUUUUGGAAAGGAAUAACUUUUUUAGUUUGAGUUGGCACAUGUAUUAUGGUAGGUGCAUCACAAUGAAUAUAUUAGUCAUAUGUAUCCCGUACUACACUAAUUAUUUUAUUUUUAGUUGUGAUAAGGAACAAAUAUUUCCACGUACGGUACUAAUUUUUGUUGCAUUUUAUUUGGUUACAAUUAUUAAAAUGAGAGUUGAAUUUAUUGUAUUUGAAUGAAAUCUGGUCCAACACGUGUAGAUGAACUUUAUCUAUUAAGAAUUUUACCCACCACGUGUAGAUGAACUUUAUCUAUUAAAGAAUUUUACCCACCACGUGUAGAUGAACUUUAUCUAUUAAAGAAUUUUACCCUUUUGGAAGUAUGUUAUGCAAAUUGUAGAGAUGUUUGUUGGGUUCCAAUUAAUAACUAGGGCAUCACGUGGAAGCUUACAGUUACAAAUUAAGAUGGUGAUAAAUUAGAUGACAAAAACUUAUAUUAAAAAUGUGAUAUUAUUAUAUGAAAACUAAUAUAAAAGAAAAAUAUUAAAAUUAUUGAGAAUAAAUCUCCCCACAAAUAAAACUCUUUAAUGACUACAUUGUGGAUUUUAUUGUUAUUCUUAAUAUGAGAAGAGAGUCUUCAAUUUAUAGAAUUCCAAAUAUUUCUUCUAAAGAAAUAAUAAAUCAAAUAUGGAAGAAAAAUAUAUUUUCCUUUCAUGAAAAGUAAAAACAUUUAUGUUAAUGUUUUGUCUUUUCUUUUAAGAAAAAAUUAAUUUCAAAUAAGAAAGAAAAUCAAAGCAAAAUCUUAACAACAUUUGAAAAGAUUUAGGGUGUGUUUGGUAUGAAGAAAAAUAUUUUCCAUGAAAAAUGUUUUCCUGGAAAACAAGUUGAUUUUUGACUUAUUUUCUCAUGUUUGGUUGGUGAGUAGAAAAUAUUUUCCGAAAAAGAUUUUAGUGUUUGAUUUAUGAAUGAAAAAUAAUUUUGAGAAAUAUCUUUUAUUUUUACUAGAGUAGAAAAUAAUUUUUGAAAUUGAAAAUAUUUUUUAAAAACAAACUUAAAUUUUUUUAGGGGUGAGGGUUGUUUGGGUGGUGGGUGGGGUGGGGGGAUGGUANNNNNNNNNNNNNNNNNNNNNNNNNNNNNNNNNNNNNNNNNNNNNNNNNNNNNNNNNNNNNNNNNNNNNNNNNNNNNNNNNNNNNNNNNNNNNNNNNNNNNNNNNNNNNNNNNNNNNNNNNNNNNNNNNNNNNNNNNUCAAUUUUUUUUUGUGGGGGGAAGGUCGGGGAGGGGGCGUGGGUGAUCGAGGAUCGGGAUGAAAAAAUAAAAAAUUGAAGUUGAAUUUGUUUUAAAAAAACAAUACAAAAAUUGAUGGGGGGACGAGGGUAGUGGGGGGGUAAAAAAUAAAAAAUUAAAAUUAGAAAUAUCUUUUAAAAAUAAUUUUUAAUAUUUUUUUGGGAGGGGUGGGAGUAGGGGUGAGGGUGCGUAAAAAAAUUGAAUUUAAAAACAAACUUUAAAAUAAUUUUUUUUGGGGGGGUUGGUUGGGGGACUGGUUUGAGGAUAGGGACAAAAUAAAUUUAUUUUUUCAACAAAAAAGUAAUUGUAAUUUGAAGUUGGAAGAGAGCUUUGGAAAAUGUUUUUCUUAAGUUUUGAAAGGAAGUCAUUUUCCUUAAAUUUGAGAAAAAUGAGUUGAUUUGGAAAACAUUUUCCAAAACAUUUAACCCAACCAAACAUGAGAAAAUUGGAAUAUCCUUCGUACCAAACACACCCUUAGAUAUUGUUUGAUUGGUCUGUCAUCGCAAUUUGACUUUAAGCAACAAAUUUCAUUAAGCCGCUUCGUAGUUGGUGGAUGCACAAUAACUGAGGGGACUAAAGUAUUCCUUCUUAAUAUCCUCUAACGUAAGAUUUUAUAUAUAUUUAAUAUCCAACUCGCUCAAUCAGGCUCUUCCCUCCCUAGACCGUAAUGUGGUUCUACGUACUAAUGUAAACUUGUAUUUAAAUAAAGGUUUAAGUCAUCUAAAGUCAUUUAAAGUUGUCUCUAUACUUCACUUGAAUACCUCAUCUUAGACUUGUUCUAAUUGAACACUUGCACUACAAUUUUUAAUUGAGGUGUUAUGCGGACAACUUUUAAGUGAUCGCAUAUGACUUAAGUCUUAAAUAAAAUAUUAUGUACAGUAAAUAGCACUAUAAUUCCGAGUCACCCAUCCAUCAUCUGAGUGAAACAGGGCGCUCUAAUUAUACGAUCAACAAGAUGAGAAUUCACAUUUCAUUAAUGAAAAUUAGAGACUAAGGUACCCGAAAUCCAAGUCUAGCGCUGCGCGGCUAUCGUUAUUAUUAUUACAUAGUAUGCACAUAUAAUACAAUUAAUAUAUGAUCAAGCAGAAGCAGCAGCUUUGCAAAUUGGGAGGUCCUUUGGAGAAUUAGGUGGAAUAUUGAGAAUUGGGUUACUCUCAAAGAAAUUAACUGGCUUUAUCUCAAAACUUGAUGAUACUGUUGGCAUUAUUGGGAAAUCCUCUUGGCAUGGAAUAUGAUGGAACCCUAAUGUAUACCACACCACUAUGUCUUUAUUCUCAAUUGCCCGGUCUCUACAAAAUACAAACAAACAAAAAAAGUACUAUUAAUUACUCAAAAAUAUCAAACAAGCGCUUACUAUCUGGUCAAAAGUUAUAAUUAAUAUUACUCCUAUAUCAUAACCAAGCCCAUCAAACAGGUCUUAUGUUCGACCAUGACAAUGACCUGGGCCAUUCCUUGACCAUCGCGAUAACAGUGUGAUUUUCCCUUUAUUUAAUCUCACCAUGUUACGUUACCUACAACACGUAACUAUUCAUAGCAAGUAUAAUAUGGUUGAUAACAUGGAAAAUGGAGUAAAUAAUCCUAAUGUAACGUGUUAAAGUGCAUUAAGUUACUCUUUCCAUUUCAAUUUGUUUGUCUUAUUUUCCUUUUUAGUUUUUUUUUUUUUUUCCAAUUCUUUGAUUCUAACUCCCCACAUGUCAUGUUUAAAACCACAAGAAUUUUGGAACAUUCUAUCUAUCUUUAAUUUAAGACAAUAAGAUUCAAAAGUCUUUUUUACUUUUUAAGACUGUAUCAAGUCAAAACCAAUCAAACAAAUCAACACAGAAGAAGUUACCUGUCAGACCAAACAGCAAGAGUAUCAUCACCUUGACUUUGAUAAACAAACAAGCCAGCAGCCCAUUGCUCAGACUCAUUAUAAGGUGUGACCCAAAUUUGGUUAUUAGUAAAAGCAGCUCUCUUCUGAGGAGGAUCAUCAUGGUCAAGUAAACUAGCAGCAGUUCCACCAGGAACAACUUUGUAACCAACAGGAUUCCCAACUCUUGAUUUCUUAUUAGAAUUAAUCACAUGGAAUUCUGAAGGAUCAUAUAGUUUGAGCUUAAUUUGUGCAUCUUUUUCAGUUUUAGCCACAUUUCUAACAGCUUUUAAGUAGCUUCUUCGUGGUGAUUCUCCAGGAGAAGUCAUCUCCUUCUGGAGAUUCACCUUCACGAAAGAAUUGUUCGAUGGACCAUCGAUGUCCAUGUUGAGAUGGAAAGUUACAUAGUGAUCAUGGAUGACUCCUAUUAUGUUUUCAGAUAAGAGAGUGCCAUAGAGAUAUUCAUUUUGGUUUACUUGAUUCAUGUUCACAUAUGGAGAGCCUUUCACCAUCAAUAUUCCACUUAGUCCAACCUAUAUAACAACAAAACAAAAUUGAUAAAAGAAUCUUUAGAAAUAAUAUCAAAAGAAUCUUAGACCAUUUUAUUUCAGGAUGCGGCUUAACAAUAAAUGAAGUCAGAAUCAUAAGGUAUCAUGUUCAAUUCAGGUAGAAGUAAAAACAUUAUGUAAUUUAUUUUUAUCUAUUUAAGCUUCUCGUGUGGAUCAAAAUUGCUUAUGGGGUAGAAAAUAGUACUCCGUAAAAAUUAAUCAAAGUGUGUAAGCUGACGAUUCUAUACUAUUCAACUUGGAAUUGAUAUUGAGAUGUGACUAAUGACCAACCCCACGACCCCACCCCACCCCUUCCAAGGAGGAAAAAAAUAGCUUGAUGUGAAUGGGUGAUUAUUGCUAUUUGCUACCCAUUAAUAUAUUCCACCAGCUCGUGUUUCCCAAGUCUUUGUGGGAUCUGACAUUAUACUUUAUUUGAAAAACAGUAGACUAAAAUUUAUUUCUCGUUUAAUUUGCAGAUUAAUUAAUAUAUGUAUUAGUUAUAGUAUUAUUUAAUCGAUUUUUAGUCAUGAUAUUAUAUAGUGUACUAUAACUAAUACAUCAUGAUAUUAGCAAUACAUGGUCUAUUAACACAUGUAUAAGCAUAGGUAAAGAUAAAAUAUACUUUAAUAUAAUAAACCAAAUAGUGAAUAGGAAAUAGUCUCAGCAUAAAGCAUUAUACUCUCUAUUGGAUCUAAAUUUAUUUUUGAAAAAUAAAAAGAAUAAGAUUUAUUUAUGUUUGACUUUACAAUAUAUGUAAAUAUUUGUGUUAAUAUUUUGAAAUUGAAAAAAUAAAUGCUCGAUUGUUCGAUGUCAGAUCAAAUAAAUAUAAAAAUAAAUGCAUCCACCAGUAGAUGAAAAAUUAAUUACUAAAAGCCAAAAAAAUAAAAUAAUAUCUCAAAUGACUUGAUUCAAUUCCUAUAUAUUAAAAAUAGAUAUUUUAAUUUUAUUCUACUUGUUCAAUUUAGAAAAUCAAUAGAAGUUUUAUCAUUUUCUUCUCAUACUACCCUUGUCAUUAAAUUAUUAUAUACAGUAUUAGUAGUGGAAUUUUUAUUUCCAAAGUAUAAUUAAUAAAGCUAAUUUAAUUAAAUAUUUUUUUAAUAAAUACUUUCUUAAAAAUAAUAUCAAAUCAACAUGGGUCAGGUAUUAUAAAACAGAGGAAUUAGUCAUUAUACUCAUUAAUCAUUAUACUCCUUCAAAAAACAGAUGAGACAUAUAUAUACAUAUAUAUAUAUAUAUAUCUUGCAUGUAAUUAAUAUUAUUGGAUACUCUUCUCUAUCGUAUCAAAAUUAUAAUUAAACGGCAAAUAUAAAAGAUCAAGAACUAGCAAGUAUGCAUGUUAGAAUUAUGCGAGUGCGAAUUUAGAUAACCAGGCUAGUAAAAUUUGAACAUGCGUCUUCCGUUCCAAAUUAUGUGACAUUCAAUUAUUUUUAAUCAGUCUUAAAAAAAUAAUAUUUUUUUAUAUUAAGUAAAGAAAUUAAUAUUUAACUUAUAGUACUAAAAAAUAUCUAUUAUUUGUUUCUGACCAAAUAUAUCAAAAAAUAAUAAUUUAAAAUAUCAAACACUUUCACAUAAAUUGAAACUAACGAUCAAAUAGGUAUGUUGUGCUAACCUUAGGUCGAAUAAGUCCAUCGUUCUGAAACUCCCAAUCGACAAUAUAAUCAUAGUUUGCUACUGACGCUGCCAUUCUCACCACUAACGUCACCUUUGGCCUUACUUCUCGUAUCUGUCCAAAGUUGCAUGCAAAACCAACAAAAUCAAUACUAUCAAACAAUAUAUUUUCAGAAACAAAUGUCAUACAACACUUGUUCUGUGUUGACACAUAACAAAUUUACUUUUCUUGGUUUUCGUGUCAAAAACCCCGAUUAAAAUUCGAAUCAUGCACUAAAACAGUCUAGUACUUGUACCACAACCAUACACUAGUGCUGACACAUAACUUAUGGACAAAUUUAAGUAGUACACAUACAAUUUUGUAUCAUUUACUUUUUCAUAGUGAAUAAAGUUGAGUGUACCAUAUACAAUUUGAAAAAAAAGAGUGAAAUUAUUUACCGGCAAACCAGUAAUUGGACAUUCAGCAUGUCGCCAUCCAAUAUCACCAGCAUAUCUUUCAAAUACACAAAUCAUAUUGGAGCGCACAUAUGGUGUUCCAUCAGCUGCCACAAAAACACCAUCCAUAUAAUACGCAUUACGAGGACAAUCAUUUAACGGGUCAAGUGGCAUCGCUUGUAACCCGAACCCGUAUUCACCUGCAUCCAUAUACGUCUUAAAAUACCAUGCAUCUGAUGGAUCCAUGUAAGGUACAAACAAUUCCGACGUAAACCCUUUAUACAUAACAUUCCUCAUCUUCCCUGUAUCCGGAUCCUGAACCAUGGCCCGGGAUAUAAUAACCCCGGCUCUCGGGUCGGGCUUGAGGUGAAAUUCCCAAUUUGCCCAUUUAACUAGAUGAUUGUUUUCUAUAGUGAAACUUGGACCAUUUGGUUGUUCGAUAGAUAUUGGUUUGAGUAAGUUUAUUUUUUGUGUGUUUUUUUUAAUACGGGAGUAGCGAUAGUCUGUGUUGGCGGCCUUUGGUAUUGGUAUACU
rnacentral:lncRNA from 1 species